CUAAUAUUUGUAGCACAUACGCUAAAAUUGAAACAGUAUAGAGAAGAUUAGUAUGGCCCCUGUGCAAGGAUGACACAAAAAUGUGUGAAGCGUUCCACAUUUCU